UCCUACGGGAGGCAGCAGUAGGGAAUAUCGCAAAAUGGGCGAAAGCCUGAUGCAGCAACGCCGCGUGGGCGAUGAAGGCCUUCGGGUCGUAAAGCCCUUUUUGGUGGGAUGAGGAAGGACAGUACCACCAGAAUAAGCCUCGGCUAACUACGUGCCAGCAGCCGCGGUAAAACGUAGGAGGCGAGCGUUAUCCGGAUUUACUGGGCGUAAAGCGCGUGCAGGCGGGCUGUUAAGUUGGAUGUGAAAGCUCCUGGCUCAACUAGGAGAGGUCGUUCAAGACUGGCAGCCUAGAGUACAGUAGAGGGAAGUGGAAUUCCGGGUGUAGUGGUGAAAUGCGUAGAUAUCCGGAGGAACACCAGUGGCGAAAGCGGCUUCCUGGACUGAAACUGACGCUCAGACGCGAAAGCUAGGGUAGCAAACGGGAUUAGAGACCCCGGUAGUCCUAGCUGUAAACGAUGUAGACUUGGCGUAGGAGGGUUUAAAUCCUUCUGUGCCGAAGCAAACGCGAUAAGUCUACCGCCUGGGGACUACGGCCGCAAGGUUAAAACUCAAAGGAAUUGACGG
rnacentral:rRNA from 1 species